rnacentral:rRNA from 1 species
UCAGGAUGAACGCUGGCGGCGUGCUUAAUACAUGCAAGUCGAACGAAGCACUUAUGACAGAUCCCCUCGGGGUGAAGACGUUGUGACUGAGUGGCGGACGGGUGAGUAACGCGUGGGUAACCUGCCUUAUGCAGGGGGACAACAGUUGGAAACGACUGCUAAUACCGCAUAAGCGCACGGCACCGCAUGGUGCAGUGUGAAAAGAUUUAUCGGCAUAAGAUGGACCCGCGUCUGAUUAGGUAGUUGGUGAGGUAACGGCCCACCCAAGCCGACGAUCAGUAGCCGACUUGAGAGAGUGAUCGGCCACAUUGGGACUGAGACACGGCCCAGACUCCUACGGGAGGCAGCAGUAGGGAAUAUUGCACAAUGGGGGAAACCCUGAUGCAAGCGACGCCGCGUGAGUGAUGAAGUAUUUCGGUACGUAAAGCUCUAUCAGCAGGGAAGAUAAUGACGGUACCUGACUAAGAAGCCCCGGCUAACUACGUGCCAGCCGCCGC